GGCUUACUUUGGGCUUACUUUGGCGGAGAAGGCAGGAUGCAGGAAGCGCAAGCGAGAGGUAGCGGGAUCGAUGCCCGCAUUCUCCAGGAGACUUUGGUUUCCUCUCUUCUGUUGCAAAGGUAAUGAGCGAAAAACCGUGACAUACUGGACAUUAGUCGAUGGACAUGCUUAACGUUCUGUGAAUCAACUCAGGUGGUCUUGUUGGUGGCCUAUCUCACUGCAUGACUUUUGCAACCUCUCUACGGCCUGGACCUUAGUUAAGGUGUGGUAGUUCGCUGGCACGCGAAUAAAGUAGCUAAGGGGCCCCGUAUACUCAACAACGCUGAUGCCGGUCACUCAGUGUACCGCUGGAUGUGGACAAGAUAGAUAGACACUUUAUUGAUACUUUAUUGAUCCCGGAGGAAAUUCAAGCUACGUACGUGCGCCCGAUAAAAUCAAGUAACCAGAGCCGUUGCUUUCCGAUUGGCACAAAUCUACACGGAGGCCAAGGAAAAGAUUCUCCUUCGAGCCGGAUUUGAACCAGCGACCUAAGGAUAACUGUUUUGACCAACCUACAGUCCUCCGCUCUACCAACUGAGCUAUCGAAGGAAGCGCUCAGAGAGGAACGACAGAGACCUACACGGACCGUAACAUGGCAACGAGUGUGCUCGUUUAAACACCUGCUGGCCUAACACUGGGAGUUUCAUGACAUACUUGGUGAAGACUGCCGUCGGCCACUACGUUCACCGGCAGACGUGGGACGGCUUUGAGUUUUUUUCCCCAGAGAAAUCACGCAACGAAACAGGCGGCUCUGAAAAAGACUGCCUUCGACUCUUUCUAUUCUGAACAGACGAGGACGACGGGCAGGGCCCUCUAGGCGGACAUGCCUGAGCGAAGCGAGCAUCUGCUUAAAAGCCAGAUGUGAAACACAGCUGGAAUGCCAGUUGAGGUUUGGUAGUUUGCUGACAUGUGAAGAUGGCCGAUUAAAGAUUCCUCAAGCGCGACGAGGAUGGGAUUCGAACCCACGCGUGCAGAGCACAAUGGAUUAGCAGUCCAUCGCCUUAACCACUCGGCCACCUCGUCUUUGAGCUGAGGGCUCCUUCGUGUGCGCACGCGGUGUGUGACCAUAAAAAGCCAAGACAGUUGGACCCAACUCAGGUCUGAUUGCAGUGCCUUGCAGGAGGUCGCAAGGGGAAUUAGCUCAAAUGGUAGAGCGCUCGCUUAGCAUGCGAGAGGUAGCGGGAUCGAUGCCCGCAUUCUCCAGGAGACUUUGGUUUCCUCUCUUCUGUUGCAAAGGUAAUGAGCGAAAAACCGUGACAUACUGGACAUUAGUCGAUGGACAUGCUUAACGUUCUGUGAAUCAACUCAGGUGGUCUUGUUGGUGGCCUAUCUCACUGCAUGACUUUUGCAACCUCUCUACGGCCUGGACCUUAGUUAAGGUGUGGUAGUUCGCUGGCACGCGAAUAAAGUAGCUAAGGGGCCCCGUAUACUCAACAACGCUGAUGCCGGUCACUCAGUGUACCGCUGGAUGUGGACAAGAUAGAUAGACACUUUAUUGAUACUUUAUUGAUCCCGGAGGAAAUUCAAGCUACGUACGUGCGCCCGAUAAAAUCAAGUAACCAGAGCCGUUGCUUUCCGAUUGGCACAAAUCUACACGGAGGCCAAGGAAAAGAUUCUCCUUCGAGCCGGAUUUGAACCAGCGA